rnacentral:lncRNA from 1 species
GAUAUUAUAUAUUUUUGAACGAAAUUUGAAUCGGAUCCUUCCGGGUCCAUGUAAGUUUGUAGGAAUCUAAAAAUAUACAAAUAAUUUAUGUAUUUAGAAAUGUCAUUUAAAAAUCUGUGCGGAUCAAGCUCUAGUUUUAUAUUUAUCAGUAAAUGUAUUUUAUUGGUAAGAUUAGAAGACUGCAUUGCCGACAAGGAGGUUUCUUAUAACAAUAGCAGGCAUGUUGACUUUAGUUUUUCCGACAAGGAGGUUUAAUAUAACAAGUGCAGUCAUGAUAGUGUUUCUUUCGAAAAAUGGUGUUCACACAGUCGCAACGCUCGAAUGUUACUAUUGACACCUUCCUUUCAUCCUGACACUUCUUGUUUCCAUCAGGGCCACAUUUUCCGGAAUAUGAACCAUACCAAUUACACAGAUACUUUUGGCUAUUCACUUUUACAAUUUUCCGGCAACCAACAAAAGAAACAAAAUAAAGUUAAUAUUAGCUUUGCUCAUAUGAAUAGUCAGUAUUUCCAAAACUUGCGGAUAUUGAAUCAAGUGAAAAAAAAAAAGAAUAAUAUAUUACCUUUCACGAUGUUAGCAAAGCAGAACAUAAGAACACAUAAGAAGAUAACUGAAAUAACACUCUUCAUGAUUUAAAAUUUUGAGAAAAUGUUGUUUCUAUUAUUUGUAUAAAACUUAUAUUUUUCUUUAUCAAUCUUGUGAAAAGCAUGCGCUUUUUCUUUGUACAUACACAUCAUAUAUAUACUCAAUAGUAAAUACACACUAAAAAUAGAACUUAAUGUCAUCUUAGCAGGUAAAACCCAAAACAAUGGAAAAUCGUAUUGUGUGGCCAGGCCAAUUCAACGAAGUCGAUAAAAUCGGUAGUUUAUUUCUGGAAAAAAAAAAACGUCGAGGAUAUUUAGGUCACUCAAGUUGACAUUGUCAAUAUAAAUAAAAAUUAAAUUCAAUUGUAGCAAAAACACAUGAUUUGUAUGAAAAGAUAUUUACUGACGUUCCUUUGCAGAACGACGAUCAUGCGGUAAAUCUUCGUAGGGCUGGGCAUCAAAUACUCGGUGUUGUCAAGGCAAAUAACAAGUCAACAAUUUUCAUUACUUGCAUGACUAAGUCAAGUAUCAAGUAUCGUUAUUAUUUUUAUUACUUGACUCAUUACUCCCCGUUACUUGUCUCAUUACUUGCUAUUUGUUACAUGAUCUAUCAAUUACUUGUUUAUAUUUGUCUUUUCUUUUACUUGCAUUUAGGAUUGGACACAAAUACUCAUUACUCUUUUUAAACUUGUUACUCUUUUCGUAUUCAUCUUGAUUUUUAAAUACUCGUUGUCUUCUAGUCAAGUAUUACAUAAAGAAGACAAAUAAAAAAUAUAUAUGCAUAUUUCGCUAUCUAAGCAUUGUAUAAUUUUCACGAUAACAAAAAUUUCUUCUCUAAACAAGUAACAUGUAAUAAUAAGUCAUAUAACUAAAUUUUUAAGUAGAAAAAACAAAACACAUUUUUAUUUCUAUUUCUAAUAGAGUAUUAUUUAGUAAGUAGUUCUUAAAUAUUCCGAAAACCUCGUAAAUAGUUCACAAGUACUCGUAAAUAGUUCACAAAUACUCGUAAAUAGUAAGUAAUAGAGCAAGACAAAUAACUUGCAAGUAAUUUAUUUUUUAUCAAGUACUUUAAAUAGCAAGUACUCAUUUUUAACAAGUCAAGUACAGGUUAAAAAAUUAAUUAUUCGUACAAGGCAAGUCAAGUCGCAAGUACACGCGAAAUAGUAAGUAACCGUCUUGUGCCCAGCCCUAAGUCUUCGUACGUUGUUGGCAUAUAAAUUUUUAUGAAAUAAAAAAAAAAAAACUGAAUUCUCCUCAAUUUUUUUUGCCUAAUCUGUGAAGAGUUACGAUAAGGCUACUCUAUCUUUGGCUGAUGAUGGUCGGAAUACAGUAAUGUGCAUCAAAUUUAAUCCGAAUAGCUCAACAGCAGCAGCAGUCUCUGCAUAAUCAAGUACUUGGCGAAUGGCGAGUGAUAAUAUGUUUUCAAAGCCUUUAUACGAGUCUACCCUUUAUUGUGUCGUCCAAAAACAAAACCUAUAAACCGAUGUUUGAUUUCUCUCUGUUGUAUUGUUGUUUUGAUUUUUAUGAACUGGGAUGUCGUUUUGUUUUCGUAUUGGAUCCAAGCUGAUAUUUUUGAAACUUACAUAGAUCCAGUCCAAAUUAGAGGAAAGUUUUAGUUUGACUUAAUUUUACUUAAAGAAAGUUAAAAGGUAUUUGUUCAGAAUGAGAGAGUGGUUUCAGACGCGUAUGCAAUUAUAGGAUUUUAAAUGGAACCUAAAAUCCAUAUUUUAAUGAGGGAAUACAACUCAGAGGAAUAUAUCAUGUUAUUUUUAUUUGGGAAAAUUGCUAAAACGGAACAAAAAACAGCAUCGUUGUCCUUUUGGUAUAAAACUUUUUUUUUUCUACUUUUUUCCAUUUUAUCAUUUUUAUUUCUAAAAUUUAAUGAAAUAAAUAAUUUUAUGAAUCAAAAAUAUUAUACAAAAAUACAAACAAUUGAUAAAAUACUCAUAUACGCAAACUGAUAUUUUUUUUGGUUGAAAAACUUGAUAAAUUUAAAUUUUAAAUUAUAUUAUACUAAAAGUAGAUUUCGUCUUCUACGAAAAUGAGUUAGUAGAAAUUGAAUUCCAUAUUAAACAAGUUUAUCUAUUUUUUUUAGAAUGAACAAUCUACUUUUAAUUAAACUUCUAAAAAUGAGGAAUGCAAAUUCUACUAAUUGUAUAGUUAGCUACUUUUUCUACUAAUGCAGUUUUUACUUUUAAGAGUUUCCUUCACUCCUAAGCCAUCCACAUCAGAUUCCAUGUCACUAAUUCGGAGUUUGUGGUGACGACAAGUGUCACAGUCAAUCAAAAGUCAAUGUUUCAAUAAUUCUUGAGUUUAAUGGGUUUUAUGUGUUUACUACGGUCCAAAUACAUAUUCUCUAAAAAAACUGUAUACGAAACUUAGGGAAAGUGGCUGUCGAGCAACAAUUCCCGUUAAGUCAACUGUCAAUAGAAAUCCAACGGUUUCACCGGUGACGAACGAUUCCGAUCAAUGUCAGUUGUAAGCCGAAUAAACUUCUUUAAUCUGGCGCCGUUACGGAAAUUCACUUGGUUCAUGCAUCUUCAUUAACAUUCACAUUAAUACCUACUAUCUACUUCUCACACGAUCUCACAUUCAAUGAAUCCCUUCAUUCAUUCAUUUGUGUAAAUCCUCCAUUAUAAAUAUGAAAGUGUUCUUCCAACAAAAUCAUCAGUUCAUUUCUCUUAAUAAACAACACAAAAAGAUGAUGAAAAAAAAAAUUGUUAAGCCCAUGGUUGUACUUAACGGAUUAUGAUAGAAAAGUGAUAAGAAACAAAAAAAAUGAUAUGAGAAACAGAAUAAACAGAGAAGAAGAUAAAAGAGGAAGACGAUACAAGAGGGGAGAUGACUUUUUUUUUAUUGAACAUUUUCUUUAAAAGAUUUAUUUAUCUUUAGCUCAUAAUAAUUUCUAACAUCUUGGUGUUGAUUUUUCAUUAAUGUGGCUCCCUAAAAGGUUUUUGGUGCUGAUCUCAAGGAUACGACAGUUAGUGCAGACAUUUAUGGAUAUAGAAUCUUGUGUGAGUAUGCAUGAUUGUGAUUUGUGAGUAUAUUUCAAUUACAUCUUUUCCAUGCCGACUACUGGACUGUGAAUUCUAUUUAACUUGGCUGCUUCUUUGUCUCCAAAAUUGGCUGAGUUUUGAUAUAUACAUAGAAUGCAUUUUUCUUAUUAUACUUCUAAGUUUGAGUCUGCAUAUAUCACAAUAAAAUGAGAGCGGUAGACGAAUGAGCUGAGUGUGGAAUACUAAACAUGUUCUUACAUGAAAUUGAAAUGUUGUAGUUUUGUCCAAACACUAACUUAUGCCUUAUUUAGAACACUCACUUCUCAUAACAUAUAUACUCUCUUCUCGACAAAUGACACUUGCUAACCUAAUAAAAAAAACAAUCGCAGCAUUGACACAUUUGAAAGAAAAUUCGUCCAACCGCACCUCCUAUUUCGGAAAAAAACAACUAGAACUAAUAUGAUAUGAAAAACAAUAGUUUCAAAUAUAUAUAUAUAUAUAUAUAUAUAUAAAUAAUGUUUCAUUUGAUAUCAACCUAAAAAAUAUUUUAGCACAUAAUUAAUGAUAUAAUAUCAAAGACAUAAAUUUCAAAAAUAUUCAUAAGAAAAAAUAUAAUAUAAGAUUUUUGUAUUAAAAAUUAUUUUACUUAUUAUCAAAAUUAUCAUAAUUACAGUAGAAUAAACAAAGAAAAUAUGUAAAACUGUUAUAUAUUCAUGAACAUUUUAAUAUUAAGCUGAUCAUGAUCUAUAAAAAGAAUAACAAAACAUACACAAUAAAAGUUAAUAUCACCUUAAAUUUAAAGUAAGUUAAACAUUUUGAAAUACUAUUUAACUGAUAUAUUUAUGUAUUUUUGGUUACUAACACGCCCGUAGCAUGAUAGAGAGAGAGAAAGUAAAAUUAUGCUAAUAGUAAAAAUUAGUUUUUUGGUUAAUUUUAAAUAAAGAAAAUAUUAUAUCUCAUAUACAUCUCUUGCAAAUGUAAACAUAAAACACAAACCACAAAUCAUAUAAAAAAUAAUAAUCUUGAUUACAAAUAAAGUAUAUCCCGCCCGUAGGGCGGACCAACUCUAGUCUACAAUAAAAUCAUUUUGAUACUCUCUACAUUCCCAUCACCAUUCAAUAAAAUUAUUUUGAUACUCUCUCUCUACAUUCCCAACACUAUUUGUCGAAUAUAUCAAGUUUUUUUGUCAUUUCUCUAUAAUAUUAUUUGAGAAAUCAGUUUCAUACGUGUCAUUUUCACAUUAAUUUUGGAGAUGAUUAAUUACAGAAAUAAUCUUAACGAAUUAUAACUAUUAUAUCAAACUACCAUUAUUAAAAAUUAUUUUGAAUUAUUUUUUUGUUUAAUAUACUUUAAAUUAAAUUUCGAAUUUUAGUUUAUUUUUGAAAGCACAUUAGAUAAUAAGAAUGGAAAUAUUUUAAAACAUAAUAUUAAUAUAUCAAACUGAUUUUGUUUUUAUGAAAUUUCCCAAAAAUUAUUCUUUUAGUGUGUUUUUUCUUAAAAUAAAUUAGUUUGAUAUAUUAAUCACCCGUACGAUUGUGUGUAUCAAGAUCUAGUUUUACCUUAGCAGUCAUCAUGUUAUCACUUCUGAAGUACCUUUUCCAUGAAAGCAGCUCCAUUUUUGAUCCAACUUCUUUGGAAAAUGUGUACCGUGCCAAUAGAAUAUGUUGAUGUUGUCCAAAAUGUGAUCCAUACACCUUCCUUUUUAUGAAGUGUCCAAAUUUUAGUUUAAUUAUUAUGCGAUUUGUUUUUGCUGUUCCUCAAAAUCAUUGAUAUUAUAUAUAAAACCGAGAUAAAUUUAUGAGAUAUCUGUUACAUUAAUUUUUGGAGCAUAUAACGAAAUCCAUGAAAAUUUUAUUUCUGAAAGACUUAAGAAUUUAUCUCAAUUUUUUAUAACAAUGGUUGAAACAUACCCCAAAAAAAAACUGUCGACAUCAUGUAUUAAACAUUUUUACAAGUAGGAUCCCUUUCUGUGGGGUUGUUUAUAAAUGCAUGGGAGGAAAACAAAUUUUCUUGGAAACUUUCGCCAACUUUUUUGUAUCUUUGUUCAUCGCUCCAUUGGUGUUGUCAUGUACCAAUUUAAUUAUAUAGCAUACCUGUAUAGCGCAUCAGUGAAGCAAUAGCGAUAUAACAUACGGAAAAGUAUGUAUCAUUCCGACGGGACAGGCAUAGUAAUGGUAACCGUUGAAAUUGCAUUUGCUGUAUGCAUGGGUAAUGUAUAAUACAAUAAUAAUAGUGUAUCAGUAUUUAGCACGCUUCAUGGAUUUUGCUAAAAUGGGCUUGCGAUUGACUGGUUUUUACAGACUUGAAAGAAUAGACUUGUCAUGCGAAUGGACCCAGCAAAUUCCAACAUGUUCAAAGUCGUAUAUGCAAAAACGUUAAUAGAAUUUUAAGUUGCAAAAAAAAAAAAACGUUAAUGAACAUAUAUAUUUUUUAAAUGGACAUACUUUGAAUUGGCGAUGAUUCUAUAUAUUAUAGUACGAGUGAUUAAGUAUUUGAUAAAUGAUUAUAAUAUGAGUGAUUCUACGUUGUUGUUCAGGAUGACUUAUUGUAAAACAUUUGGAUAAGGGGUUAUUGGUUGGUGUAUUUUGACGGAUUUGAAAAUUCAAACUAAAUUUAGUGUUAUUGGUUCUAUGAUUUUUAAAAUAUGUAUUGAAAUCAUGUGUUAUUAGUUUAAUGAUUCAUAAAUUCUAAUUAAAAUCAAUUGUUAUUCAAUCAUACGGAUUUACUAAUAGAUUUGAUUUCAUAACGGAUUUGAAUGGAUUUGCAAGGAUUUUUUUGUUAAAAAUAUAAAGACUCAAAUCUGAGAGAAAGCCUCCGGAUUUGUAAAUACUAAUCCGAGAGAAUUUGAAAAUUUGUAUAUUUUACUUGGAUUUAUAAAUACUAUAUAUAAUUUCUAAAUCAAUCAAAAUAUAUUAACUAAUAACACCUUCUAAAUAAUGCGAACAAAUUUUUAAAAACUAAUGAUGGAUCAAAACUAAAACUAAUAAAGCAAUAUUCAAAGUGAUUAUCUUAUACAAUAAAGUUGCCUUGAGUCUCUCCUCCUGCGUCCACGUCAUCAGAGAGGUAGGGGCAAAUGUUGACACAUCAGCAUCUCUUUCUGAACAAAACACGGUGCUUUCGUUUCUAUGAAAUCUCUUGAUGGGCCCACUUAAUUGUACUGAAAGCAAUGUUUUUGAAGAAGAGUUUGGGCUUAAUGAUGAUAUACUGUCUCGUGGUCCAACUCAACCCUAGCACUCAUCCAUCCUCUUCUUCUUCUCGUGUCCCUUGCUUCCCCCUCCUUUCCUGAAACUUCCACUGUAACACCUCCCUUAGAAUUACCGUUUUCUCUUUAAGAGCACACUUUAAAGCUUAAGGCGCAUCCCUCCCAUUAAGUAACAUUUAAUACACCACAAUCUUUUCUUCGCUCUUGAAAUCGAACUCGUAUAAGUAGGAUUGAAUAUCCCCAUUACCCUCACCACUGCAACGUUCUUGCCUCUUCCAGACAUGUUUAAAUUGUUAUGAAGAAAAAUCAAAUUUUUAGCAAUUGGAUUUGCAGAUGUUUGAUUAAAGAUGAUCGAAAUGGUUGAAUCUUCAACCUUUUAAAACUAUUUCUUGAAACUAAGUUUUGUUAGUUUCUGUCCAAAUACUAAUGCUUCUUAGAAAUCUCUUAUUCACUUUGAUAUUACUAUCACCUCAAAGAUUUUUGAAUUUGAACUCUUUUUCAUUUAAUUUUGUUUUUUUUUUCUUUUUGGUCUGAAAGUUGGAAUCUCCAAAAUGUACAAAAACGCCUAUUGUGGAAGGUAGAGAUGAAAGUUGAAACGUUGAAACCUCUAAAAAGAAAAAAAACAUUGCAAUUGUAAACACUAACGCUGCUUGAAACUGUAAGUCUUCCCAUUCAUCUCUACGGUCAUAAUUUCCUUUUAUCUCAUGCCGUUCCUACAGAUUCUGGUUCAGUUUAACUUUUAAAACUCUGUAAACUUGCAUUCUGAAGUAUCUUUUCAUUUACUGUGAAUACUUUGUGUCCGGAACAUAUUGUGAUGGUUGUAACUGGGUCAAUUGUUUCAACAACGUUGCAGUGAACCUGCAAAUGCUAGGAUUGCAAAAAAAUUUGAUGGAAGUCAGGAGAGACAAGCUCUGUUUCACGGUGAAAAUGCCAACAACAUAACUUAUCUCCAACAAGGAGCAAAUGCUGUCAUUACUGAAGUUGUUUGUACCUCGGCCUUUGCUCCUUUUUCCAGCACCCAAGUGGAGUUUUACAGCGACUCCAAUAAUCUAUACAAGAAGAAGCUACUCUUCCUGAUUUUGAUGAUCAACUUUACCAAGAUUUCAUUCGUUCCAUCUAUGUAUUCAUUAUCCUCUGCAUUGAUGCUGGUUCAUCAGGAUUUUGUUAUCUCUUGAUUUGAUCAAUUGGAUUAUAGGAUAAAUGGUUAUACACAUGUGGUGUAUCUUCUAGAACCUGGCGAACAAGCACGGAAUGUGGUUUCAUCCUCCGUAAUCUUCAGUCCGAACUUCCUUUAGUUCUUAAAUCCCGAUGGUCUCAUCUUAUUGAAGUUGUGGUAAGGUAAGUCAUGUUUUCAUUUCUUAGUACGUAAUUGUUUGACCUGAUGGGACCUAUAAACAGUUAUUUUUUCCUAUAAAAUUUCCAAUACAAAUAGUAGCGGCGGGAUAUGUGGGCAGAAGUGAUGGUCUCAGAAAUGUUUCUACAAUCAUCCUCAAGUCAAUUAUAGAUAUGUGUUUAUCUUCUAUGUAUGUGUAUAAUAAUACGGAAUUGUGCUUAUAUUAUUAUUUUUUUGAAUAAAAUGUUAAAUUUGAUUCAAAAGAAAAUGUACUUUUUUAAAUUUGAAUAAUAUGAAAAUGUGCUUAUAUUAAUAACUAUCACAAUUCGUAAGUCAUAUACAAAAUAAUAUUUAAUUUGCUGGAUCAAAAUAAAGAUAAUUAUUGUUUUAGUAAAAAAAUUGUUUUUUUGCAGCAAAAAGAAAAUUAAUAAUUAGAAAAAAAAAAAUAAUAAUAAUAGUGUCUUCUUCCAACUUCUAUAUGAAUUCAUGUUUCUGUAAACAAUAUUUAUUAUAAUAACUAAAUUCAACUUGACUGCAUGAUCCAAGCAAUACUUUGAUAUUAUAAAAAAAAACACAUCUAAUUUGAUAUAACAAAGUACCCAGUUAUGUGAUCAAUAUGAAAUACAGUUUACGAUAUACCCAAAUCACUGAAGGACUAAGCACUUACCAAACCCACACAAAGUCGCAAAGUUAUUUCGACAAGAUCAACCCCAAAUUACAACGGUGCAACACCGCUUGGUAAAUCCAAACAAUUCGACUGCUUUAUGUAUUACAAAUUUACAACCUUCUAACAUUUGCAUAUGGUUGACUUUCAAACCAACACAUGGAAUUCAAAUCCAAAUUCAAAUUUUGUCUUACAACCCGUUAUGUGACAUCAAACCAACACAUGCGUUGGCCCACAAGCCGGACCCAAACAUGAGACACUCACAGAAACAAAGAAGCCAGACUCGCACCAUAAAAGUUCUCCACCGUAAUUGAUAUUUAAAUUGAAAUUAUAGUCACUUCUAUUGACGUACUAAAAUUAAGACACAUUGACCUCAUUCUCUUCAAUUGGUUAAGCAACCACAUUGAUUUCUACACAAAUCAAUUUUAAAUAAUCAGAUGAUAGUGAAGAGUUUCAAAAGAGUUUAUUGAAUCAGUUUUCGUGUCUUGAAGAUUUUUUGUCUCAUUUGGUAAGGCUCGCUGCUUCGGACUAAAGGUACAUAACUAAGUACUGUUGGUUUGAUUCUUAAAUAAUUUUGUGAUGAUGAAUGUGUUUAUAGAUGAUCAAAUGAUAUAAAGUGUUGUUACAAAUCUCAAAUCAAAUACACUGAAAGAAAAUUUAUGAGUGUACCAUCCCCUAUAUAAAUAGAGAUUUAUAUGGAUUGUUACUACUUCAAAAGAGAGAAAUUUGCCGACUACAUUAUUCAAGAAAAAAAUAUGUCAUUGUUUACUUGACUUCUUAAAGACAAAAUUUAAAUUUACAUUUCUUCUAUCAUGAAUUUUUUUUUUUAAAAAUUAUUGUUUGCUAUACUUUUGAAAUUCAUUAUCACUCCUACGAUCAACUUUCCGUUUAGGAUAAGCCAAUAAACUUUGAAAAAAACACAUCCCCUAUAAAAAAACAAUCCUAAACCAAUAAGAUGCAUCAUCACCCACAUUACUAAAAACUUUUAACAUUUUCACUUAGCAGGAAUCAAAACUGCAUUGACAUGACUUCGAAAGCUAAGGAUUCAAGGCCUGAAAUCUUCUAACAUGCACUCAUAAAAUCCAUUAUUAGGUCAGGACUCUCAAUUUUUAAAUGUCAAAAACUAAUAAUUCUAUGUCGAUUGGACUAACAACUAACAAAUGAAAAUGAAACAAAUUGAAUUCAAAAGACAAAACAACAUCCAAACCCGGCGCGUAGCGCCGGAAUACCCCUAGUGAUAGAUAUAAAGGAUUUUGUCAGUUUCGAUAUCCUGGCAAGAUUCAUAAAUUUUGGCAAGUACAUAUAUUAUAUUUGCAAAUUUCUUAUGAGUCUUCUUUGUUUAUUUUAACCAAACUCUGAUAAUAGGACAAUGUUGUUUAAGUCUGGAAUAAAGUAUUUACAAAUAUUAUAUUUUGUUUUGAAUAUUAGUUAUGUUGGUUUAUUGAGUCAAAACUUAGGAAUUAGUGAACUUUUCUUGGAACUAAUCAUCUAACUAUUAUCUAGUACUAUUCUUUGAGUUAUUAAUUAUAAGUUGUACGACAUAGAAAGCCCAAAGUAGAUCGAUCUGCCAAUAAUAUCUAUGUUUGUGUGAGUGUAUGAAGGAUCCAAAACUAUCAUGCAACAUUAAUAAACUUGAAUCUUUCAUCUUGGAGCUUCGUAUACAAUGGAUUGGAUUUCUCAUCCAAGUCUAAAAGACAUGUUUGUGUGAGUAUGGUUCCAUUCUCUCUUCCCUUCAAUAAAAAGCUGAAAGAAAAGAAAAGAUUUAGAUGAUUUUAUAUGGAGUAAAGGGGUAGAAAAAUUUCAUGUGACCCCAUUAUUUUACUUCAAAUGGAAUGACCACACAAAGAUGGAAGCGGGGAGUAGGAAAAUUCCAUGUGACCAUUAUUCGCUUAUACUUUAGAGCAUAAAAAGAAAGAAAAGGAAGAGAGACAAAAUGAUAAAAUUAAGAAAAGAGGGAGGAAAAGAACCAGAGAAGACUGUCCAUGUGAUCAGAAACCUGAAUGGAUAAGAGUCCAUGUAUUCUUUGUUCGAUAUUCCCUAGAUGGGACUGCACAUAAGGCUAUUAAAUGAAGUCAGUGAUGGUGAAUUUGGAUAUCUCUUAUGAGUUGUGGCUGAAAAUAGUCUAGUUGCUAAGCAGAGGUCAACUACAUGGAAGUGCCUUCUAAGGUUGGUAUUAUUUGAUGUGGCUUGCAACAGGUAAUUUGAAAGUGUGUGUUCUAAGGAAUAUGUGAGUUCAUGUGUUUCAAACCUCUUUCACAAGUUUAGUUUUUGUUUUGCUUGAGGGAAAUCAAAUGAUAAGUUUGGGGAGAGUUUUUAUAGGUUUUGACCAUGAUAUAAAUCCUUAUUUAGAGUCUUUAUAUUAUGUUUUGAGUCGCAUUUAGAAUCUUUACAAGUUUAGGUAUGUUCUGGACUUAUUUGGAGAUUCUAAAGCACAUUGGAGAUUGGAUAAAAUUGGAGCUGAAAAGCUGAAGUCGGAGUCGAUGUUUACGCAUGUGUUGAUUGACUCUCUCCUUGGUGUCGGUCGGCAUCCAUCUCAUACAAACAAACCGACACUGAUUAAAGAAUUUCAUAAUUUAUAUUAAAAAAAAAAUUCCAUUAUUUCCGCAAGGGUCUCUGAACGUGUUUUAUACAUAUAUAUUCUAUUUUAAGCCAUCGUUUAUGCUCAAAAUUAUUUUAGAUAUGGAGAGACAAGUCAGAAGUCAUUCAAAGAUUGAUUUCAAACUCUAGUAUUUCUUACUUUAGUAUAUUUAUGAAAUUUAUUCACAAUAUGAUUUAUGUUUCUGUUAUCAUGUUUGAGUAAACCCGCCUGUUAAAUUUAGAAUUUUCAAAGAAUUGAUGAAUUUACUAGAAUGAACUGUUAGGGUUUACUCUAUCUUCUUCAACUUGAUUGUUCUUAAUGCUGGAUUUGGAUUGACGACCUAAAAUCUAGAUCUUAGUAUAAUUGGUAGAUGUGAAAGCAUUAUUGAUUGCCUAAAUUAAUUUUGAUGAGCUAAAUAACUAUUCGCAAAGAAAUUUAGUUUAUGGAAUUAGUGAGCUUAUCAAACUUGAUCUUAAUGCAUGUCUUAGUUGUUUAAAUUCUAUAAAAACAAAUUGAGAUUCUAGGAUCUAGACAUAGAUUAUCUUUGCAAAGAAAAUUGAUUGAUUUUUGAAUUGCAUUUUCAGUUCUACAAUUGUUCUUUAUAAAAACUAAUAAUUGUUUGAUUUACAAUUCUGACUUCCUGCAAAUUUCCCGAAGUCUAGGUACUUUCUUCCAUCACUUACAACCGUUUUAUUUCCUGUCUUUAUUGCUUUCUAGUUUCUGAUCUAGCUUAAUCUGAUAAAUAAUGUCUAUUGUGUGAUCUCAGUCCUUCUAGAUUCGAUCCCUAUGUAUUAUAACUAGCACUCUGAAAUUGCAGAGUUGCUCUUAGGAUAAAUUUUAUCAUAUCAAAAAGACUCUCUUACUAGAGAGUAUAGAUGACUUAUUAAAGUUGAUACAAUGCCCCAAAGCUUUUCCAUAUUAGACGCAAAUAAAUAUCACAGUUAAUGAUGUUUUAAUAGUUUAUUUAUUUAUUUUGUAAUCAUCUGAGAAAAAUAACUUCAUAAAAACUUUUAAUUUCAUCGUCAGUGUAUUUCAGGACAUCAACUGACUUUUUUUUAACAAAAAAAAAAAAAAAAAAAAAAAAAAAAAAAAAAAAAAAAAAACUUUUAAUUUGUAAAAUUGAUAAUCUUGGUUAAGAUUAUUUUUACAGGAAAGUAAAUUUUAAGAUAAUAAGAAUAAUUUUUGUGAGCUUUCCUUUUUAUGAAAUAACUUUUAUAUAUUAAUAUCAAGUUUUUAAUUUUUAAUAUAUUUAUUUUAAUUAUAAUUUGGUUUCACAAAUACAGAAAAGAAAAGUAAUUCUUAUGAUAUAAAGAAUAAUUUUUGUGUGCUUUUUCUUAAAAAAAAAUUUUGAUAUAUUAAUCACCCAUACGAUUGUGUGUAUCAAGAUCUAGUUUUACCUUAGCAGGCAUCAUGUUAUCACUUGUGAAGUAUUUUGGUAGGAUAUUUUACCAUAUAUAUAUAUAUAUAUUAUAUAUAUAUCAAUGCAAUACGAAUUUUCUCUUUAUCACAUUGCUUUACAUUCCCUAACCAAGUUUUAGAUGCCAUUGCAAAAUUAUACAAGUUCUAACCAUAAUUUCCGCAGUUAUUAAUUACUGAUUUAAUUUAUAAAGUAUUACUUGGUUGAAACAAAUAAAAUAUAAACCGAGCUAAAUUUAUGAGAUAUCUAUAACAUUAAUUUUUGGAGCAUAUAACGAAAUCCAUGAAAAUUUUAUUUCUGAAAGACAUAAGAAUUUAUCUCAAUUUUUUAACAAUGGUUGAAACAUACCCCCAAAAAAAAAGAUCCCGUGUGAUCUAUUUAUCUUUAGCUCAUAAUAAUUUCCAACAUCUUGGUGUUGAUUUUUCAUUAAUGUGGCUCCCUAAAAGGUUGUUGGCGCUGAUCUCAAGGAUACAACAGUUAGUGCAGACACUUGUAGAUAUAGAAUCCGGUGUGAGUAUGCAUGAUUGUGAUUUGUGAGUAUAUUUCAAUUACAUCUUUUCCAUACUGACUACUGGACUGUGAAUUCUAUUUAACUUGGCUGCUUCUUUGUCUCCAAAAUUGGCUGAGUUUUGAUAUAUACAUAGAAUGCAUUUUUCUUAUUAUACUUCUAAGUUUGAGUCUGCAUAUAUCACAAUAAAAUGAGAACGGUAGAUGAAUGAGCUGAGUGUGGAAUACUAAACAUGUUCUUACAUGAAAUUGAAGCGUUGUAGUUUUGGCCAAACACUAACUUAUGCCUUAUUUAGAACACUCACUUCCCAUAACUUAUAUACUCUCUUGUCGACAAAUGACACCUACUAACCUAAUAAAAAAAACAAUCACAGCGUUGACACAUUCGAAAGAAAAUUCGUCCAACCGCACCUCCUAUUUCGAAAAAAACAACUAGAACUAAUAUGAUACGAAAAACAAUAGUUUCAAAUAUAUAUAUAUAUAUAAGAAAAUAAUGUUUCAUUUGACAUCAACCUAAAAUAAUAAUUUAGCACAUAAUUAAUAAUAUAAUAUCAAAGACAUAAAUUUAAAAAUAUUCAUAAGAAAAAAUAUAAUAUAAGAUUUUUGUAUUAAAAAUUAUUUUGUUUAUUAUCAAAAUUAUCAUAAUUACAGUAGAAUAAACAAAGAAAAUAUGUAAAACUAUUAUGUAUUCAUGAACAUUUUAAUAUUAAGAUGAUCAUGAUCUAUAAACAGAAUAACAAAACAUACACAAUAAAAGUUAAUAUCACCUUAAAUUUUAAGUAAGCCAAACAUUUUGAAAUACUCUUUAACUGAUAUAUUUAUGUAUUUUUGGUUACUAACACGCCCGUAGCGUGAAUAGAGAGAGAGAAAGUAAAAUUAUGCUAAUAGUAAAAAUUAGUUUUUUGGUUAAUUUUAAAUUAAGAAAAUAUUAUAUCUCAUAUACAUCUCUUGCAAAUGUAAACAUAAAACACAAACCACAAAUCAUAUAAAAAAUAAUAAUCUUGAUUACAAAUAAAGUAUGGCGGGGCGGACCGACCCUAGUCUACAAUAAAAUCAUUUUGAUACUCUCUACAUUCCCAUCACCAUUCAAUAAAAUCAUUUUGAUACUCUCUCUCUCUACAUUCCCAACACUAUUUGUCGAAUAUAUCAAGUUUUUUUUUGUCAUUUCUCUAUAAUAUUAUUUGAGAAAUCAGUUUCAUACGUGUCAUUUUCACAUUAAUUUUGGAGAUGAUUAUUUACAAAAAUAAUCUUAACGAAUUAUAAUUAUUAUAUCAAACUACCAUUAUUAAAAAUUAUUUUGAAUUAUAUUUUUGUUUAAUAUACUUUUAAUUAAAUUUCGAAUUUUAGUUUAUUUUUGAAAGCACAUUAUAUAAUAAGAAUGGAAAUAUUUUAAAACACAAUAUUAAUAUAUCAAACUGAUUUUUUUUUAAGAAAUUUCCCAAAAAUUAUUAUUUUUGUGUGUUUUUUCUUAAAAUAAAUCAGUUUGAUAUAUUAAUCGCCCGUACGAUUGUGUGUAUCAAGAUCUAGUUUUAUCUUAGUAGUCAUCAUGUUAUCACUUCUGAAGUACCUUUUCCAUGAAAGCAGCUCCAUUUUUGAUCCAAAUUCUUUGGAAAAUGUGUACCGUGCCAAUAGAAUAUGUUGACGUUGUCCAAAAUGCGAUCCAUAAACCUUUUUAUGAAGUGUCCAAAUUUUAGUUUAAUUAUUAUGCGAUUUGUUUUUCCUGUUCCUCAAAAUCAUUGAUAUUAUAUAUAUAUAUAUAUAUAAAUAUAUAUAUUUUUGGUAGGAUAUUUUACCAUAUAUAUAUAUAUUAUAUCAAUGCAAUGCGAAUUUUCUCUUUAUCACAUUGCUUUACACUCCCUAACCACGUUUUAGAUGCCAUUGCAAAAUUAUACAAGUUCUAACCAUAAUUUCCGCAGUUAUUAAUUACUGAUUUAAUUUAUAAAGUAUUACUUGGUUGAAACAAAUAAAAUAUGGUAAAAUAAUCAUAUGAUUUUUAUUACACACAAUAGUUUGUUAUCGCCGUACAAAAAAAGAUCCAACUCAUUAUUUCAGAUGGGUUAUCUUCUUCUUUUGUAGCUUCUCUGCUUGACUGCUUCUAUUUACCACUGGAACUUCUAUUAUUCUUAGAUCCACCGCUAGAGCUUUUAUUCUUCUAAGAUCCACCACCGGAGCUUCGUCUUAGCUGCAUGCAUGGUCGCCUUCUUCUCCAGUUCUCUUCUUUAGUUGCUUGUUUUGUCUCUGAUAUAGUUGUAUUGCUUUUAAUGUUUGCUGUUUAGCUUAGUUUAAUUUUAUGUGAAUGUGUUAUGUCGUUGUCUCGAUUAACUUAGUUAAUUUUUUUUUGAAAUUGUGAAUAUAUUAUGUAUCGGUUAGCUUAGUUAAUUGUUUGAAAUUGUGAAUGUGUCUGUUCAACUAAACAAGUUUAUUGCAUGAUCAUAUUCAAUCCUCGACUAGACUCAUGUACUGAACUGUACUGAUGCACCAUGAAGCAGCUAAAGCGUACUGAUGCCCAUAUACGCGUUUGUAAUUCUAUGUCCCACGGGCUGACCCGCGAAGGCCUACAUGAUUUGCGGUACGGGAUUGAGCAGCCAUUCUGAGGACCACAGCCCGUGCGGGAUUGGCCCACUGUGACCCGUUCGAAGACGAACCCCGCUGUGGUUCGGACCGGGACGGAAGUGACCAAUUGCCAUCUCUACCUAUAUUUUAUUAAAAUUGGAGUACAAAACAAUACAUACUUAUUGUAAGGUGAUUUCUUACAUCUUCUUCAUUAUUUUAACUAAUGUUAACAAUUUCAUUUAUUGUCUUUUCAUCAUUUAUUACAAAAAAAACAAAACAAAACUUACCUAUUUUACUUAUUUUAUUACAUCUUGUACAUUUUUUUAUUCAUCAUAACUAAUUCGUUAAUCGUAUUUACCAUCAUAAUCUAACAUCAUUUAUUUUAUGUGUAAACAAUAAUAAUUUCACAAAUUUGAAUGAUAUUGCUACAUUCGUGACAAGAAUUCAAAUCGGUUAACAAAAAAAAUUAUUUGUUUACAUAAUCAGUUAGACAUGGCAUUCAGUUGUCUAUCUGAAUACAUAUCAGUUUUUUGGAUAUCAAGUUUUUUGGAUUUUAAAAUUAAAAUUCGUUUCGGAUAUUAUAUAUUUUUGAACGAAAUUCGAAUCGGACCCUUCCGGGUCCAUGUAGGUUUGUAGGAAUCUAAAAAUAUACAAAUAAUUUAUGGAUUUAGAAAUGUCAUUUAAAAAUCUGUGUGGAUCAAGCUCUAGUUUUAUACUUAUCAGUAAAUGUAUUUUAUUGGUAAGAUUAGAAGACUGCAUUGCCGACAAGGAGGUUUCUUAUAACAAUAGCAGGCAUGUUGUCUUUAGUUUUUCCGACAAGGAGGUUUAAUAUAACAAGUGCAGUCAUGAUAGUGUUUCUUUCGAAAAAUGGUGUUCACACAGUCGCAACGCUCGAAUGUUACUAUUGACACCUUCCUUUCAUCCUGACACUUCUUGUUUCCAUCAGGGCCGCAUUUUCC